rnacentral:rRNA from 1 species
GAUGAACGCUAGCUACAGGCUUAACACAUGCAAGUCGAGGGGAAACGAUAUUGGAAGCUUGCUUCCGAUAGGCGUCGACCGGCGCACGGGUGAGUAACGCGUAUCCAACCUGCCCAUCACUUGGGAAUAACCUUGCGAAAGUAAGACUAAUGCCCAAUGACAUUUAUGGAGGGCAUCCGCAAUGACUUAAAGAUUUAUCGGUGAUGGAUGGGGAUGCGUCUGAUUAGCUUGUUGGCGGGGUAACGGCCCACCAAGGCGACGAGCAGUAGGGGUUCUGAGAGGAAGGUCCCCCACAUUGGAACUGAGACACGGUCCAAACUCCUACGGGAGGCAGCAGUGAGGAAUAUUGGUCAAUGGGCGAGAGCCUGAACCAGCCAAGUAGCGUGCAGGAUGACGGCCCUAUGGGUUGUAAACUGCUUUUAUAAGGGAAUAAAGUGAGUCACGUGUGACUUUUUGCAUGUACCUUAUGAAUAAGGACCGGCUAAUUCCGUGCCAGCCGCCGCGGUAA